GCCGCCCCUCCCUUCUCGCUCGCGCACGCCUCCUGCUCGCCGCCUCGACACCUGCACGGAAGCCGCGCAGGCUAGGCGUCACCAGGGAGCGUCUCCUCAGCGGCGUAAGAUCCGGCUGCACGCAGAUUGGAUGGACCUUGCCGGCCAACGCGGCGGCCAUGGUCCGCGGAGGAGGAAGCGCCCGUUCAAUCGCCGUCCUCCUCGUCCUUACCUCCCUCAAACCUGCCCAAGGCGGACGCUCAGAUAUCGCUGACGCCGCCGUUGUCUGGGAGGCUUGUCCGUGCCGGGAGGAAACGGCCACCACGGCUGCCAUCUUCGUCAGGCCAAUCUGCCGCUCCUCUGCUUGCGUCACUUCCUCUACUGCUGCUUCCUCGCCCAGGCUUUCGCUGCCCACUGUUGCUGGUACGCCACUGCGCUGCUUGGUCCCAUAGACACUGGUACAGGCAUCCAAGAAGCUGGUCUUGCUGUUCAGCCUGCUCCCAUUAGAGGGAGGAGACCGAGGAAGCCAUCACGGCCCUCAGAACACUGUUUUUGGUUUUCUUUUUCAGUGCAGAGGAAAGAGAAGCAAGUAAGCAAUGAGGCAAUGUUCCACACUUCCACUGCGAUUACAUUCAGGUUUACAUAACUCCAUUUUUUGAGGAACUCUACAGGACCUGCUGGUUUCUUACAUUACUGUUUAUAUGGUGGCACUCCAAUACAGGUGCAUUUGUUAAGUCUUCAAGUUGGUUAUUUGUAGUUCUGAAUUUAUUUUGUUUUGUCUGCAAAUUUUGUGUCACAAGCUCCUAUUCUCAGAUCAUCUUUGUCCAACAUCCUUCUCUGAUUUGAUUUCCCUACUUGACUUAAGAAAUGAUCUGUAGAUACAAAUAUGUCACUUAAGAGGUUUCUCGUGCUUACUGUUACACUUGAAUUACAUACCUAUGAAACAUGAUGUGCACAAGGGCAUAACACAAGUGCAAUAUAUUGCCAUGGAAAAACAAUUGAAAACUUGAGAUUCAUGGCAUUUUUUAGGUUUCAGGAUGCAAGCUCUGCAUCAAUCGAAUUGUGCUUUUUGAGAGAAUGAUGUAAGAGAAGAUAUCAUGGAGGAAAUGUGUUAUAUUUAGAAAAUAAUGUUAGGUAGAAAUUGUUGUCAGAUACUCAACGGUUUUUCAGGUUUUUAGUCAUGCAGUUUCAAAACAGGGCUAACACAUUAUUAUGGUGCUUGAACCGCUGGCUUGUUGCAUAAUGUAUUUAAGAUAUCUCCAUACAAGAUUUUAUGGUAGUACUUAAGUGGGCUUAUGCAAAGGUUUGCAAGCAAAGCUUAUUAGGAGAGGAGAAAAAUUUUAAGAAAAAUAGAAGUUUCAUGUGUAUACCAGUUGAAAAUUUGAGGUUAUUGAGCUUCCUAGCUAGAAUUUAUUUCUUUUUAAAUAUUUUUUUCUAGAAAUUGUAUACUUUAUAAGACAUUGUAUUGGAUAUAUUUUAUCUAAAGACUAAACGCUACCUGAAGUUUGUUUUUUGAAGACAAGGAUUAUUGAAUGAUAUACUGGUGAUAGCUUAAGCUCCUAAACUAAGCCGAUGGACAAAUGAAAGUAUUAAAACUAGAUGUAUUCUUCUCACAGCUGGUGUUUCCUAUACAACCAAGGCACAGAAGAGUACUUAAAUGAAGAGGUUGGCCUGGCACAAGCUCUUUUCCUCGUCAGGAACUCAGCACUUGAUGGUUUAUUGUCAGAAUCAAGUCUGAAUGCCAAAUUGCUUAGUUGCCAUCAUUACAGUACCAAAUAGCGCUUAUCAUGGUUGUUCCCUUUACAGUUCAAGCAAAGCAAGGAUGCUUAGUCACAAGGAGGAUUGUAGUUUAGAAUCAUUCUGCCAGUAUGAUACUGCUGCAUUGCUGUUGUGGUUUCUGUACUGUGGAACACAUAAUUAUGCUGAUAACUUAUAUUUGCU